CUGGACAUUGAACUGAGGCAUUGCUGGAGAUCUUAUUUCUUUCCUUUUCUCCUUGAAGUCUGAGUUUCCAAGGAAUUUCAUACAAUUUUAGCAAUAGGUGAGUAAAAGAACACAUGAACAUGCUGUAAGCUCUUGUCUUCUUUUGCCCCUCUGGUUUCAGGCUAAAGGAGAUCCAAAUGAGUGAAUAUGAUGCUGCAACCUAUGAAAGAUUUUCAGGUGCUGUUCGGCGACAGGUGCAGUCCCUCUGAAUCAUCUUGGAUAAUUUACAGGCUAAAGGUAAAGAAAGGCAGUGGCUAAAACACCAAGCUACUGGAGAACUAGAUGAUGCCAAGAUCAUUGAUGGGCUGACUGGAGAGAAAACCAUCUACAAACGUCGGGGUGAGCUGGAGCCACAACUGGGGAGCCCACAAGAGAAACCCAAGCGUCUGCGCCUGGUGGUAGAUGUGUCUGGCAGCAUGUAUCGCUUCAAUGGAGUGGAUGGCCGGCUUGAGCGCUCAAUGGAGGCCGUGUGUAUGGUCAUGGAAGCUUUCGAGAACUAUGAGGAGAAAUUCAAGUAUGACAUCGCUGGACACUCUGGAGAUGACUACAAUAUUGCACUAGUUUCAAUUAACAAAAUCCCCAAGAACAACAAAGACUAGAAAUUCUAAAGACAAUGCAUGCCCACUCUCAGUUCUGCAUGAGUAGAGACCACACAUUAAUGGGGACAGAACAUGCUAUCAAGGAAAUUGUCAAAGAAGAGGCUGAUGAAUACUUUGUCAUAGUCUUAAGUGAUGCAAAUCUGUCACGAUAUGGAAUAAAACCUGCCACAUUUGCCCAGAUCCUUACAAGUGACCCUCAAGUAAAUGCUUUUGCCAUUUUUAUUGGAUCAUUGGGUGAUCAAGCAACCAGGCUCCAGAAAACUUUACCAGCUGGCAGGUCUUUCAUUGCCAUGGAUACCAAGGACAUCCCUCAGAUUUUACAACAGAUCUUCACCUCCACAAUGUUGUCAACUGUUUAAGAAAUGCCCUCCACUGCAUAACGACCCCGGGAUUUAAAACAAGAAAAAGGAAUGUUCUAAAGAGAAGACAUCUGUAAAGCAAACCCAUGCAAUGACCAUAUAAUUCUAGCAUUGCUUGCUUCUUCCUACACUGACUCCAUAAUCAGGAUUCAGAAAAGCAGCCAGAAGCAGACUUGUGCCUGUAAAUCUCCAGCCACUGAUGGGUUUAGAAAUCCUCAGUGGGAGCAAGUUGACCUUCAUAUAAUGCAAGGUCAUGGUUAAAGGAAAUUGGCAUGAGAACUACAGUGUUUGGACUGUUUCAAAAACCUGAGAGGUAAAGAAUCCUUGCUUUUGCCUUAACACAUCAUCCGUCACCUAAGAUAAGAGAAAAAACACCAUCACACUGAAACUCUGAGACCAUGGUCUGACAUUGGGAUCAAGUCUGUGCAAACCCCACCCAACAUGCUGCUGUCUCAUAAUUAUUUUUAUUUUCUCCCUGCUCUGGAUUGUCUAGCAAACAAUAGUUUUAUAGUAUUUAACCCACUGAAAAGACCUUCCAACAGCAAUAUUUUAUAAAAAGUUGGAUUUUCUCAGUAAUUCCAUUUUCUUGGCCAAAGCCAAAAGAAAUCAGGAGAGCCUUAGAAUGCUUGAUUUCCUAGGUGACUUUUAAAAGGCUCUUUGAAUAAUAAAGAACAAAUGUCCUGUUCUCCCUGCCACCACAUGGAAGAAUAAAGAUAUCUUGUGUGAA